UAGAGUUGACCGUACCGCAAACCGACACAGGUGGGCAGGAUGAAAAUUCUAAGGCGCUUGAGAGAACUCAGGAGAAGGAACUCGGCAAAUUAACACCGUAACUUCGGGAGAAGGUGUGCCCCGGUAGCGUGUAGAGACUUGCUCUCGAAGCGCGAUGGGGUUGCAGUGAAAUGGUGGCUGCGACUGUUUAAUAAAAACACAGCACUCUGCAAACACGAAAGUGGACGUAUAGGGUGUGACGCCUGCCCGGUGCCGGAAGGUUAAGUGAUGGGGUGCAAGCUCUUGAUCGAAGCCCCGGUAAACGGCGGCCGUAACUAUAACGGUCCUAAGGUAGCGAAAUUCCUUGUCGGGUAAGUUCCGACCUGCACGAAUGGCGUAACGAUGGCCACACUGUCUCCUCCUGGGACUCAGCGAAGUUGAAAUGUUUGUGAAGAUGCAAUCUACCCGCGGCUAGACGGAAAGACCCCAUGAACCUUUACUGUAGCUUUGCAUUGGACUUUGAACCGGUUUGUGUAGGAUAGGUGGGAGACUGUGAAGCCGGGACGCUAGUUUCGGUGGAGUCAACCUUGAAAUACCACCCUGAUUUGUUUGAGGUUCUAACCUUGGUCCGUGAAUCCGGAUCGGGGACCGUGCAUGGUAGGCAGUUUGACUGGGGCGGUCUCCUCCCAAAAGGUAACGGAGGAGUACGAAGGUACGCUUAGGGCGGUCGGACAUCGCCCACAAAGUGCAAUGGCAAAAGCGUGCUUGACUGCGAGACCCACAAGUCGAGCAGGUACGAAAGUAGGUCAUAGUGAUCCGGUGGUUCUGUAUGGAAGGGCCAUCGCUCAACGGAUAAAAGGUACUCUGGGGAUAACAGGCUAAUUCCUCCCAAGAGUUCAUAUCGACGGGGGAGUUUGGCACCUCGAUGUCGGCUCAUCACAUCCUGGGGCUGUAGUCGGUCCCAAGGGUAUGGCUGUUCGCCAUUUAAAGUGGUACGCGAGCUGGGUUUAAAACGUCGUGAGACAGUUUGGUCCCUAUCUGCCGUGGGCGCUGGAAAUUUGAAGGGGGCUGCUCCUAGUACGAGAGGACCGGAGUGGACGAACCUCUGGUGUACCGGUUAUGACGCCAGUCGUAUCGCCGGGUAGCUAAGUUCGGAAGAGAUAAACGCUGAAAGCAUCUAAGCGUGAAACUCGCCUUAAGAUAAGAUUUCCCGGAGUCUUGAACUCCCUGAAGGGUCGUCGAAGACCACGACGUUGAUAGGUCAGGUGUGGAAGCGCAGCAAUGCGUUAAGCUAACUGAUACUAAUUGCCCGUGCGGCUUGAUCCU
rnacentral:rRNA from 1 species